UACGGAGGGUGCAAGCGUUGUCCGGAUUUAUUGGGUUUAAAGGGUGCGUAGGCGGCCUUUUAAGUCAGUGGUGAAAUCCUACGGCUCAACCGUGGAACUGCCAUUGAUACUGAAGGGCUUGAGUCCGUUCGAGGUGGUUGGAAUAAGUGGUGUAGCGGUGAAAUGCAUAGAUAUCACUUAGAACACCGAUUGCGAAGGCAGAUCACUGGGACGGAACUGACGCUGAGGCACGAAAGUGUGGGGAGCAAAC
rnacentral:rRNA from 1 species